GAUGAAGAACGUAGUGAAAUGCGAUAAGUAGUGUGAAUUGCAGAAUUUAGUGAAUCAUCGAAUCUUUGAACGCACAUUGCGCCCUUUGGUAUUCCCUAGGGCAUGCCUGUUCGAGCGUCAUCUACACCCUCAAGCACAGCUUGGUGAUGGGCGCCUGUCCCGCCCCCCACGGGGGCGCGGACUCGCCUCAAAUGCAUUGGCGGCCGGCGACCUGGCUUCGAGCGCAGCAGAAACGCGUACUCGGGGACCGGGCGCCCGCUCCCAGAAGCCAACCCACCCAGUUUGACCUCGGAUCAGGUAGGGAUACCCGCUGAACUUAAGCAUAUCAAUAAGCGGAGGA
rnacentral:misc_RNA from 1 species